GGACGGGUGGUCGAGUGGUUUAUGGCUACGGUCUUGAAAACCGUCGUGGGUUCACGCCCACCGUGGGUUCGAAUCCCACCCCGUCCGCCA
rnacentral:tRNA from 1 species